rnacentral:rRNA from 1 species
UACGGGGGGGCAAGCGUUGUUCGGAAUUACUGGGCGUAAAGGGCUCGUAGGCGGCCAACUAAGUCAUACGUGAAAUCCCUCGGCUUAACCGGGGAACUGCGUCUGAUACUGGAUGGCUUGAGUUCGGGAGAGGGAUGCGGAAUUCCAGGUGUAGCGGUGAAAUGCGUAGAGAUCCGGAGGAACACCAGUGGCGAAGGCGACACGCUGGGCCGUACCUGACACUGAGGCGCGAUAGCAUGGGGAGCAAACAGG